rnacentral:rRNA from 1 species
UACGAAGGGUGCAAGCGUUACUCGGAAUUACUGGGCGUAAAGCGUGCGUAGGUGGUUCGUUAAGUCUGAUGUGAAAGCCCUGGGCUCAACCUGGGAAUGGCAUUGGAAACUGGCGAUCUAGAGUGCGGUAGAGGGUAGUGGAAUUCCCGGUGUAGCAGUGAAAUGCGUAGAGAUCGGGAGGAACAUCUGUGGCGAAGGCGACUGCCUGGACCAGCACUGACACUGAGGCGCGAAAGCUAGGGGAGCAAACGGG